UUGUGUUCAGCUGACCUAAGAGUCAUAUCGGUGAUGUGUUCAUUUAUCUGUUGUACGAAAAAAAACAAAAUAUUCCUUUAUAUAUUUGUAAAUACUCCUUUAUAUAUUUGUUUUACAUAUCUAUUAUACAAAAAUUGCAAAAUAUUCCUUUUGAAACGUUAAUACAAUAUCCAGGUAAAAUUUUAGGUUGCAUCUCAAGAAGUGAACUCAAAUAUUCUUGAAAUAUCGGAAACAAAUCCAAACUGGACACUAUAACCAGAAAUCAAGUUUAAAUAAUUACGAAGAAGCAUUGGAACGCUUACAAAAAUCAAAAGAAAAAAAUUAUGCUUUUACGACAGAUUGUGAAAGUGAUUAUAUGCAAAAAAUAGAUCAAAUAAUUAAACAGGUAAAAUCUAAAAAUAAAAAAAAGAAUGAGGUUGAUAAAAUUCUGAAUAAUGUAUUAAACAAGGAUAAAGAUAACCAGAAUUUAAUAAAUUCGUCAGAAUGUGAGUUAUCAAUAAAAUCAAUAGAGAACUUAUCAAACCCAAUACUUUUUGUAGAAGAUAAUAUAAACACUGAAACAUCAACAAUAAAUACCGACGAAAAUUUUCGAUAAAAUGUUACUACAGAUGAAAAUUUAGAAUGUAUGAAAUUGAUUAUAACGAAAAUUAAAAAAUUGGAAUAUGCAGUGGAAAAAGCAAAUAUAGAAAUUAAUAAAAAAUUUAAUAUACUAUUGUCAAGAAACGUAAAUCUUACAAAUAUAAGCCAAAAUUAUUAUGAAAAAAAUGACAUCCAAAUACCAUUUAAGACUACAGAACAAUUUUUUAACUUUUGUGAAUUAUUAGAAAAAGAAGAAGAUUGUCGACGGCACUUUGGAAGCAUAAUUUAUAUUUAUAAUCGUAUUUACAAAAUUAUUACAAAAUGUAGUAACAUAUAUCAUUUUCAGACUUAUUCCAUUAAUAUUUUGAUAGAUAUUAAUUUAAAUAUAUCC